AACGAACGCUGGCGGCAUGCCUAACACAUGCAAGUCGAACGAGACCUUCGGGUCUAGUGGCGCACGGGUGCGUAACGCGUGGGAACCUGCCCUUAGGUUCGGAAUAACUCCCCGAAAGGGGUGCUAAUACCGGAUAAUGUCUUCGGACCAAAGAUUUAUCGCCUUUGGAUGGGCCCGCGUUGGAUUAGCUAGUUGGUAGGGUAAAAGCCUACCAAGGCGACGAUCCAUAGCUGGUCUGAGAGGAUGAUCAGCCACACUGGGACUGACACACGGCCCAGACUCCUACGGGAGGCAGCAGUGGGGAAUAUUGGACAAUGGGCGAAAGCCUGAUCCAGCAAUGCCGCGUGAGUGAUGAAGGCCUUAGGGUUGUAAAGCUCUUUUACCCGGGAUGAUAAUGACAGUACCGGGAGAAUAAGCUCCGGCUAACUCCGUG
rnacentral:rRNA from 1 species